AUACGAACCCAAAUUCCUGAAUUCCUAGUAUUCUGAUUUAAUUCAAGAAUUUGGGUUCUUCAAGGCUGGGCAACAGAGAACAAGAGCCAAAUCUCCGAAAUUCCUCGCUGUAGAGAAAAAUCAAGGAAAUGGGUCAAGUACGUUCCUUCCAAAUCCUCGUUUCAGGAUUUGGGAGCAGAGCUCUGGGGUUUGGGUGGCAUAAGGAGCUAAUCCUGAAAACGGAGAUGUUUGUCAAUUUUGUUUUUCACGAGAAAAAUCAAGGAAAAGAAUGAAAUGGGUUGGUCCCCAAAAUGAUUUAGACGGGACACAAAAACAAAGGAAUCUCGAAUUUUCAUUCAGAGAUGCAGAGGAUCCUCGAUUUCCAUUACAGAUUCUGCAAAAAAGGGCAAGUAAAAAACGAGUGGAAAAAGAUAUUGGGUAAAUGCCAUUAAUGAGAGAAGAUGUCGUCUGCGAAUUCACAUUGAUGUCUGAUUCAUCCCUCUUUCUGAGAAACGCAUAUGAGAAACAAACAGAGAAAGAGAAAAUGAAUGAAGAGAGAAUCAGCGCAUGCGCGGUUGAAUGGGAGCAGAGGCUAAUUUUGGGGGUGAUUGGUUGCCUAGAAAGAGAAUCUAAAAGGAGAGCUGUUAGGUGUUAACUACGUAGGAAGAGGAAGAGGAAGAGGAAGAGGAAAACAGAGAGAAAAUCUUUUGUGGGAUCGUGACCUGUCAAACAGAGACACACCCUGUAAGAUCAUGUGGGCCCAAAUGUUUGGGUAAUAACAUGGGAUUGGAC
rnacentral:lncRNA from 1 species